AUAUAUAUAUAUAUAUAUAUAUAUAUGAACAGUACAGAGGUGAUUAGCAUGACCACUGUGCAAGAGUGACACACAAAUUUGUGAAGCAUUCCAUAUUUGU
rnacentral:snRNA from 13 species